CCCUUAGAUGUCCUGGGCCGCACGCGCGCUCCACUGAGUGUCUGAGAUACGAGUCUGCCUGGUCCGGCAAGGUCUAGGUAAUCGCUAAAAGACACAUCAUGCUUGGGAUAGAUUAUUGCAAAUAUUAAUCUUGAACGAGGAAUUCCUAGUAAGCGCAAGUCAACAGCUUGCGUUGAUUACGUCCCUGCCCUUUGUACACACCGCCCGUCGCUACUACUGAUUGGAUGUUUAAGCGAGGUUCUCGAACUGCUAGCGACUUAGCUUCGGUGAGGUCGCAGUGUGGGAAGUGAACCUAGCUUUGGUGUCUAGAGGAAGUAAAAGUCGUAACA
rnacentral:rRNA from 1 species